GGGGCUGUUUUGGAUUCGACAGGAUGAUUUGCCUUGCUCAAAUGGCGUGUCGGGGAGCUUGAUCCUCGUUAAUACUUAAGCAAACAUAUAGAUGCCGAAACUCAAUUCGACAAUGUUGUUUCUUUAGCUGAUGCUCGUGCAGCCCGUGCUGCUCGUGCUUUGAAAGUUGCUUAGACUAUAAAACUCUAAGUAGCUUUUUCUCUAAGAAAUAGCACCUCACCCCUUUAGUAUGCCGAGGGGAUGGGGCUACCCACGCAUGCCCUACAAACCCAUCACACUUAUUGGCUGGGGUUUUGUUUGUAUUUGUCAAUACCGAUGUGCAGAGAAUCGGUUAACAACCCGCUGUGGUGGCAGGUAAUGGGAUACCGAUUUUCCCGCCAUCAAGACUUUCGGGUAUCUACACACGUAGAGGUUUGAAAGAGGACGUUUUGGACGAGGGUUCGAUUCCCUCCAGCUCCACCA
rnacentral:tmRNA from 1 species